CCUACGGGUGGCAGCAGUGAGGAAUAUUGGUCAAUGGCCGGGAGGCUGAACCAGCCAAGUCGCGUGAUGGAAGACGGCCCUACGGGUUGUAAACCUCUUUUGUCAGGGAACAAAGUGCAGGUCGGGUCCUGCUGUGAGAGUACCUGAAGAAAAAGCAUCGGCUAACUCCGUGCCAGCAGCCGCGGUAAUACGGAGGAUGCGAGCGUUAUCCGGAUUUAUUGGGUUUAAAGGGUGCGCAGGCGGAGGCACAAGUCAGCGUUAAACUCGCGGGGCUCAACCCCGGCCCGCCGUUGAAACUGGGUCGCUUGAGUGCGCGAAGAGUAGGCGGAAUGCGUGGUGUAGCGGUGAAAUGCUUAGAUAUCACGCAGAACUCCGAUCGCGAAGGCAGCCUACCGGCGCGAAACUGACGCUGAAGAACGAAAGCGUGGGUAUCGAACAGGAUUAGAUACCCCGGUAGUC
rnacentral:rRNA from 1 species